rnacentral:rRNA from 1 species
UACGAAGGGGGCUAGCGUUGCUCGGAAUUACUGGGCGUAAAGCGCACGUAGGCGGAUUGUUAAGUCGGGGGUGAAAUCCUGGAGCUCAACUCCAGAACUGCCUCGAUACUGGCGAUCUCGAGUUCGGGAGAGGUGAGUGGAACUGCGAGUGUAGAGGUGAAAUCGUAGAUAUUCGGAAGAACACCAGUGGCGAAGGCGGCUCACUGGUCCGGUACUGACGCUGAGGUGCGAAAGCGUGGGGAGCAACAGGG